AUGAACGCUGGCGGCGUGCCUAAUACAUGCCAGUCGAGCGCACAGACGAGGAGCUUGCUCCUCUGACGUUAGCGGCGGACGGGUGAGUAACACGUGGAUAACCUACCUAUAAGACUGGGAUAACUUCGGGAAACCGGAGCUAAUACCGGAUAAUAUAUUGAACCGCAUGGUUCAAUAGUGAAAGACGGUUUUGCUGUCACUUAUAGAUGGAUCCGCGCCGCAUUAGCUAGUUGGUAAGGUAACGGCUUACCAAGGCAACGAUGCGUAGCCGACCUGAGAGGGUGAUCGGCCACACUGGAACUGAGACACGGUCCAGACUCCUACGGGAGGCAGCAGUAGGGAAUCUUCCGCAAUGGGCGAAAGCUUGACGGAGCAACGCCGCGUGAGUGAUGAAGGUCUUCGGAUCGUAAAACUCUGUUAUUAGGGAAGAACAAAUGUGUAAGUAACUAUGCACGUCUUGACGGUACCUAAUCAGAAAGCCACGGCUAACUACGUG
rnacentral:rRNA from 1 species